rnacentral:rRNA from 1 species
AGUGAACGCUGGCGGCGGGCCUAACACAUGCAAGUCGAACGGAAGCACCGUAAGUUUUUGCUCUUACCGGUGGCGAGUGGCGGACGGGUGAGGCAUGCAUCCGUAUCUUCUUUUUCGUGGGGGAUAACGUAGGGAAACUUACGCUAAUACCGCAUACGCCCUACCGGGGAAGGCAUGGGAUCUUCGCACCUUUCGCGAUUGAAUGAGCCGAUGUCGGGGUAGCUAGUUGGCGGGGUAAUGGCCCACCAAGGCGACGAUCCGUAGCUGGUCUGAGAGGAUGAUCGGCCACAUGGGAACUGAGACACGGUCCAGACUACUACGGGAGGCAGCAGUGGGGAAUGUGAGGCAAUGGGCGCAAGCCUGACACAGCCAUACCGCGUGUGUGAAGAAGGCCUUCGGUUUGUAAAGCCCUCUUGUUGGGAAAGAAAAGCAGCAGGUUGAUACCACGCUGUACUGACGGUAACCAAAGAAGAAGCACCGGCUAACUACGUG